UCGCGUGUCUCAGAGUUUGAUCCUGGCUCAGGACGAACGCUGGCGGCGUGCUUAACACAUGCAAGUCGAACGGGGCGACGAUGAAAGCUUGCUUUCAUAAUAGCCUAGUGGCGAACGGGUGAGUAACACGUAACUAACCUGCCCUUCAGUGGGGGACAACAGGAGGAAACUCCUGCUAAUACCGCGUGCCUUUUAACGAUCGCAUGAUUGAUAAAAGAAAGGUGGCCUCUAUUUAUAAGCUACCGCUGAAGGAGGGGGUUGCGUCUGAUUAGCUAGUUGGUGGGGUAAAGGCCUACCAAGGCGAUGAUCAGUAGCCGGUCUGAGAGGACGAACGGCCACAUUGGGACUGAGACACGGCCCAA
rnacentral:rRNA from 1 species